ACACGUGGGCAACCUGCCUGUAAGACUGGGAUAACUCCGGGAAACCGGAGCUAAUACCGGAUAGUAUCUUGAACCGCAUGGUUCAAGUUGGAAAGACGGUUUCGGCUGUCACUUACAGAUGGGCCCGCGGCGCAUUAGCUAGUUGGUGAGGUAAUGGCUCACCAAGGCAACGAUGCGUAGCCGACCUGAGAGGGUGAUCGGCCACACUGGGACUGAGACACGGCCCAGACUCCUACGGGAGGCAGCAGUAGGGAAUCUUCCGCAAUGGACGAAAGUCUGACGGAGCAACGCCGCGUGAGUGAUGAAGGUUUUCGGAUCGUAAAACUCUGUUGUUAGGGAAGAACAAGUGCGAGAGUAACUGCUCGCACCUUGACGGUACCUAACCAGAAAGCCACGGCUAACUACGUGCCAGCAGCCGCGGUAAUACGUAGGUGGCAAGCGUUGUCCGGAAUUAUUGGGCGUAAAGCGCGCGCAGGCGGUUUCUUAAGUCUGAUGUGAAAGCCCCCGGCUCAACCGGGGAGGGUCAUUGGAAACUGGGAAACUUGAGUGCAGAAGAGGAGAGUGGAAUUCCACGUGUAGCGGUGAAAUGCGUAGAGAUGUGGAGGAACACCAGUGGCGAAGGCGACUCUCUGGUCUGUAACUGACGCUGAGGCGCGAAAGCGUGGGGAGCGAACAGGAUUAGAUACC
rnacentral:rRNA from 1 species